rnacentral:rRNA from 1 species
GGGAAUUUUCCGCAAUGGGCUAACGCCUGACGGAGCAAUGCCGCGUGGAGGAGGAAGGCCUGUGGGUCGUAAACUCCUUUUCUCAGAGAAGAAGAUCUGACGGUAUCUGAGGAAUAAGCAUCGGCUAACUCUGUGCCAGCAGCCGCGGUAAUACAGGGGAUGCAAGCGUUAUCCGGAAUUAUUGGGCGUAAAGCGUCCUGAGGUGGCUUACCCAGUCGACUGUGAAAGCUCAAGGCUCAACCUUGAAACGGCAGUCGAAACUUGUAAGCUUGAGUACGGUAGAGGCAGAGGGAAUUCCCGGAGGAGAGGUGAAAUUCGUAGAUAUCGGGAGGAAGGCCAAAGGCGAAAGCACUCUGCUGGGCCGAUUACUGACACUGACAGACGAAAGCUAGGGGAGCGAAAGGGAUUAGAUACCCCUGUAGUC